CCUACGGGCGGCAGCAGUGGGGAAUAUUGCACAAUGGGGGAAACCCUGAUGCAGCGACGCCGCGUGAGUGAAGAAGUAUUUCGGUAUGUAAAGCUCUAUCAGCAGGGAAGAAAAUGACGGUACCUGACUAAGAAGCACCGGCUAAAUACGUGCCAGCAGCCGCGGUAAUACGUAUGGUGCAAGCGUUAUCCGGAUUUACUGGGUGUAAAGGGAGCGUAGACGGAUAGGCAAGUCUGGAGUGAAAACCCGGGGCUCAACCCCGGGACUGCUUUGGAAACUGUUUAUCUAGAGUGCUGGAGAGGUAAGUGGAAUUCCUAGUGUAGCGGUGAAAUGCGUAGAUAUUAGGAGGAACACCAGUGGCGAAGGCGGCUUACUGGACAGUAACUGACGUUGAGGCUCGAAAGCGUGGGGAGCAAACAGGAUUAGAUACCCCUGUAGUC
rnacentral:rRNA from 1 species